GGAACGUUAUUUCAGCCUUCCGCCACUCCUUUAGAGAGUUUAUGAGGAUGCUCUUAGAUAAUGCAGCCACAGGUUUUCAGGUUAUUUCAGUCUGUAGGGUAGGCUGUGAUGCACAGAAUGAAUAGAAACUGGAAUCUUCUUGCUUUGAAUCUCUUUUGCAUUUCACACAUGUUUAAAUAGAAAUAGGUACAUAUGAUUUCCCAAUUCUGUUGAAUAGAUUUAGGAAGAUGGUGGCCUCACUUUUUAUUUUAUCAGUGCCUGGCAAAGGCAAUAGAAUGAACACUAGGUAACAGAGUAUCACAACUUUUUUUUGCAAGUUUAACUGAUAGCACCUAAUCCAACUGUAAAUAUAAUUACAAAUAAGGUUCUGAGCACCAACUCACUAAUCGGUGCCAUGUUUUCCUUUUUCUUGUUUUUAAAGUUUUUAUUUUGUUCCUUUUUCAUAUCUUUAAGUAGUUCACGAAUUUAAUCUUGAAGGAGAGUUAGAGAAAAUUUUAAGAUUUUACUACGUGUAUUC
rnacentral:lncRNA from 1 species